UACGGGGGGGGGCAAGCGUUGUUCGGAAUUACUGGGCGUAAAGGGCGCGUAGGCGGUGCUCUAAGUCGGAUGUGAAAACUCUGGGCUCAACCCAGAGCCUGCAUCCGAAACUGGAGUGCUAGAGUUCUGGAGGGGGUAGCGGAAUUCCUGGUGUAGCGGUGAAAUGCGUAGAUAUCAGGAGGAACACCGGUGGCGAAGGCGGCUACCUGGACAGAAACUGACGCUGAGGCGCAAAAGCUAGGGGAGCAAACAGG
rnacentral:rRNA from 1 species